rnacentral:lncRNA from 1 species
CUUGAGCAUAUUUUCUAGCUAAGCUUCCUCAAAUUUAUGGCUGAACUCGUCAUUCAUGGCCACCCGCAUGAUAUAAUGCAUCGUGGUGCAGUCGUUGAGCCACUUCAAGUAAGUGUCUCGAACCGCACCAUGAGGGUUCAGAGCGGGCUCCUCUGGUACUGAAUCUGUAAGGACAUACAAGAUCUGCUCGUGCUCUAGGACUAUUUUUAAUUUUUGAUACCAGCUAUCAAAAUUGGAUUUCAUCAAUUUUUCACUAUCCAAC